UGGCAAACCGAAAGCUGCAGAAGUGGUAAUAAGGGAAUAAAAAUGAAUUGUUAGUACCUAUCAUUUGUUAGAAGAUUAUAUAAUCGUCUUUGCAAUGGCCUAUUAACCCAAGUUUAAUAAUAAAUCUCCAUUCCCCUGUUAAAUGAGCCAGGACAAGUAUUGCUCAUUACUACAUUCCUAUAAGAAAGGCUAUAGCAAUAUUUUGAUAAUUUAAUGAAUUUGUAAAAAGUUGACCUAAGCACCAGGGGGUCUGGGUUGAAGAAAAAUACCUUUUUUUUUUCCUUUACACAUUCCAAGGUGUAGAAUGUGUACCCAUUGUUCAUGAACAAGCCUUUUUUUAAUCAUCCUGAUUGAUUUAUCUCUCAUUAUCGAAGUGGGCAAUAUACCAUCUACAUGUCAUUCAUGUGAAAUAACUAUCUGUACUCUGAAUAAGAUACAGAUGCAGAAGAUCCAUGAGUGUACAUUUAUUCAAAUGAAGGUUGAAGUCUUUAAAGAUUCCCACCCAGGUAUCUUAUGUAAUCUUCUAUCAGGAUUGUAUCUCCAUUUCAGUUUGUAUGACAUUACCUGUUCUGAAUAGGAUAAAGACUCAUUGUUACUGUCAGGCCUGUUUUCAAACUAAAUAUUCAUCUAGUCCUUUGUGGCUGCCAUUUUUAUCACACAUUUAGAACAGCUUCCCUUUACUGAUCUGCCAUUUUCCUGCAAAUCACUGUUUCACUUGUAUGAUUUCUAGUGAGACAAGCUUAGACCUCGCUGCCUUUCUCUCAGUAACAGAGAAAAGAAACGUCUCUGGUGCCUAUGCAGCAAAGAAAGUUGAUUCAUGUGUAAAUUAUCAUUUGGCCUUUAUUUGCUUGGCCUGUGGAGAGUACACAGGCAGAUAAAAGGUUCGGUGGGUCAGGGCUCAGUAUGUGCAGGUUUCUCCAGUGGCUACAAUGACAGCGUUAGAAUUGUUGUCACAGAUUAUCAGACACGCUCUGAUGUCUUAUCAUUAUUUAUUUGCAGUUUUCGUUGUAAAAUAAACUCUAACAUGGAAGAUACUUCUGUAAUAACAGGACACCAUGUACCUGUCCCAUGUUUGUUCUGUCAUCUCACAUUCUAAUAAGAAAAACUGAUUUGUGUUUUCUUGAAGUUGGAACUGGUGUUUUUAUGUUUCUGCCAUCCAUGUUUCUGGCUCUGGUCUAUCUCCUUUUACUUCUACCUCGUGUUUUCAUUUCUUCAAACCUGGAUGUUGUCCAAGUUUGUUGUGAACCAUGGGUAGAUAAUGUCUUAGUAACAUGUCCUAUUAAUCUAGGUAGAUGUAAAAUGCUGUUGGGGUAUAUAUAGCCGCUUCUAGGCACUAUGCAGAAAUUGGAUAGUUAUAGAAACUACAAAAUCUGUUAUCUGUGACUCAGUUGGUUUUCUUUAAAAUAAAAUUGCUUGCAAUGCUUUCAUUAUUAUCUUUUUACUAUUAAAGGAGGUAAACAAAGGUUUAGCUUUUUUUUCUUUAACCACAUUAUAUCAACCCUCUGGGUGUGUAGCUGACAUGAAUUUAUAAGGUAAAUCCCUGUGUGUGUGUGUGUGUGUGUGUGUGUGUGUGUGUGUGUAAAAAAACACUAAGAAAUGCAUUAAUAAAUCUCAAAAUGAUACGAUGCUUUCAGUCUACUUUUAUUGUGAAGGUCUUAUAAUAUGUGUCAGAAGGGUAGAGCUGAUAUAUCUAUUUCUGCAGCUUUUUUUUAUUUGUGUAAUUCAUGUUAUGUAUAUACAUUGUCACAUUAUGAUCCAUGUUUUUUUUUAAAGUAUGUUAGAAACCAAGAGAAUAUAUUUUAUAACACCUACCUUACUAAAUUGAUGUUUAUCAGAACAUUAUUGACUCAUGGGCCCUCUGGUAAGCUUUCCUCUAUUAUAGUAAAAUUAAACGAGUUUUAAAUAAUGCAGUUAGUAUUAUAAAAUACUGCCUUCAUUUUUUUCAAAAAGUUCUCUUCACUGUUGAAGAAAUUCUAUCUGAAAACAAAUUCCUUUCACUUGUACAAAAAGGUAUAAUUCUUCAUUGCAACUUUCACUAUUCCAUUAGGAAAACAACCCACUGUUUUUAGUAUACUUAUAAUUAGCCAUAUGCAAAUUACUUUUAUUUCCUUGUCACCAAGGCCUGAACAGUAGGAGGGUGAUCUCUCCUUCCUUCUCCUUUCUCUAUCUGCUCCACUUGCCACCACUGAAGCCCAGCUGAGAUACGGAAGGAGGACCGUCCCUCUCCUUUGUUAUAAAUGCUCUUAGGCAGGUUUUUCUGUGCACAGUCCGUUCCACAGCCUCCUUUGCAUGGAACAGGGGAGAGAUAGGUAUAUGUUAAACCCACUUAUCCCUUUCCCUUGCCCAGUUAAACGUCACUUCUUAUUUGCUCCUGAUUUUUUUUCCCAUCUCCUCUUAAAAUCAAGUUAUCCACUGAGUUUAGGCCAAGUGGAAAAUGAGAAACCAAGAGGUAACUUCUAGCUUUCCUUUCAGGGUAAGGGGAAUGCUAGUUCAGCUACCUUACCCAUGUCCCAAAUGGUAACUUUAUAGAAAAGUUCAUAUUUUUAGCCCAUAAAAACUGCUUGGCACAGGUAACCUAAUUGUUUUAUCACUUAUUUGGCUACAGUUGUUUAUAGCUUUGUUUUAACAAGAGAGAGAAUAGAGAAAGUACAGUUGAGGAAAAUAGAGGAGAUUGGCUGACAGAAUAAGAGAGUAUGGGUAAAACUCAAAAGAUGAUGUUACCAAGCAUAGACUUGCUUAAUCUCAUCUGUCCACCCGGUGCUAUACAAUGUGGCAGUGAGGAAAGAGACAAUAAUUACAUCGGGACCAUCAUCUCAGUGUUCCUGGCAUGCAUACAGAGUUGCAAGGAAGUCAUAGAAUUGUGUUUGUACAUUUGUAUAAUUGAUGUCUUACUACAGAUAUUUAGCUAGGUGUAUGAAUACAUUUCGUGUAUAUGUGUAUGGUAUACAGCAUACAAAUAUAUCACUUGAGUGUAAGUAUGAACAGUUGUGACAAUUUUCCUAAGAAUAUAUCGUAUGCAUCUGUGUUGAGAUAGGCAUGCUAUAAUUAUGACAAUUAAAGACAUUUAAAGGUAGCAAACAGAUUUGUUUUUAUAUAUAAUAAUUUAUUUACCCUGGUAGCUGAACUCAACACGGUAUCUCCUUUUCAGCUUACUUUUAUCCAUGAGGGGAUAAUGUGUUUUAAUUAAGCCCUCUUGUCUAUGAGCAAUAGAAAUCCACUCAGCUAGCUUGGAUUGAAUUUAUAGUUUGUCUCCUAAAGAAGAUUCGUACAGGGGCACCUACGUGGCUCAUUUGGUUGAGCAUCAACUCUUGAUUUCAGCUCAGGUCAUGAUCCCAGGGUUGUGGGAUCGAGCCCCUCAUCAGGCUCCACACUGAGCAUGGAGCCUGCUUGAGAUUCUCUCUCUCUCCCCCUCUGCUUUUCUCCCCAACUCUCUCUCUCCCUAAAAAAUAAAAAAUAAAAAAAUACGAUUUGUACAGAGACUAUAAGAACUAAACUCUAUACUGAAAUUGCAAUUUAAGCCAGUUAGACUUUUGAAUGUUGUUCUGAAGUGAAAUGAACCCAGUAUGAGUUAUUGUGAGGAUACUCAUUUUCUUGUCAUUGGAAAGUCACUGACAAUUAAUAUUGCUAUACAAAGCACCUCCCGUUGCCACUUGUCUCUCAUGAGACGUAUAUUCCCUUAGAGGCAUCUCUGUUUCUCUGUGUAAUUCCUCUAUUCACUGUAUAUGGACCAGCUUCUUCCUUUCUUACUCUUUCUGUUCCCUCAGAACUUUGGCAAAUGGGUAGCCUUUCGACCUGUCCACUUCUGACUUUACUGCAGUUCCCAUCCCUCACUAAUAUCUUCAUUUCCUCCUUUCAGAUUCUUAAGAAAAUUAUUUUUUUCUUCUCAUCUCUUUGCUUCAUAUCAUAGAUGAUGAUCCUAUGAAUUGGCCGCACUUAGAUCAGUAGCCAUCCCAGGUUCAGUCAGCUGUGGAUGGAAGGUGCAGGGUUAUGUGGUGAAAAAGAUGGCCCCUGCUGCUGUCCUUUAAAACGGGUCUGUAAUAAAUGCCGUUGCACUACAAGGGGUGGUUGGUGAGCAGAUACUAUGAUUGGCACCUCUAGUAUAUAUAUAACCUGUGGUAUAUAACACAGGUUAACUCCCUGAUAGGGGGACUAUUAACCAAACUAUUAACAUGGUCCAUUGCUUAAAUGUCACUCCUCAAGGAAGUCUCAGACCACAUUCUAUGUAUGCUCCUACCAUAUGGUCCCAUAAUACUCUAUAUUUCAUCACCAUCGUAAAACUCAUCAGUGUUACUAUAAUUACCCAAUGCUUCUCUUCUGUCAUAAACUCAAAGGUCUGUGAAAAGAGACCAUAUCUUUCCUGCUCACCAUUCUGUCACCGGUACCUGGCCCAGUUCCUAGCUUAUAACGGUAUCCAAAUGUUUAAGUUAUUUGAUUAAUAAAUGCCUUAAACCUCUAGGAAUCAAGAGUUUUAAAUUUAGUAAUCUGCCAAAAAGCAGCUCUUCUUUUUAAAUGUCCCCAUUUCUGACAGUGACAGUAUCAGUAUUCGUCACAUUGGUACUGAUUCUUCCCUCUCUCCAUCAUCAAGGCAAUCACGUUUGCUUGAUUCUUUCUUUCUCUUUUAUCUGUAAUUUCUUCUCCAUCGCCACUGCCAGCCCUCUUAGUCCAGGUCUUCUUCACCUCCACCUGACUGGCCUCCUGGUCUCCAUAGCUGUUACUGUCUUUAUAUCCUACAUAUCUUCCUAAAAAGUCACUUUUCGCACCUCUUUCUCUGUUUAAACAACAACAACUUUGUUGGCUCCACUUCUGCCUGAAGAAUGAAAUCCAAAUUCUUAAGUCCUUCAUUCUCUUGUUCCUGCCAAAUCUCUAAUUAGUAAUGCUUUCUACUAGUGUCCUACGUGGACUCCUUCAUUCUCUCCAAACAAGUCUACCUCUUAUCUCUGAGUAUAUUAUGAGCAUCUCCAUCCACCCCUUUGUUCACUUAUCUCUUCCUCCGUCAGCACUUAACUGUUCCUCAUCUUUCAAAACCUACCCCAAGUUCUACUUUCUUCAUCAAGUUGUUCCUACUGCCCAGUCCUCAGUAAUCACUUCUUAGUCUAAAGUUAGAGGACUUGUUAUCUCUGCCAUUCACCAGGGCCAUACACAUGCUGCCUUACAGUAGUGUUUAUUUUUGUAUACGUAUAGUAUGACAAUGAGAGAUGUGAGCUGCAAUAAUGCAGUCACACUGCCCAGCUUCAGAUCCUACCUCCUCAAGUCAGUAUCUGGGUAACUGAACAAGUUGCCCAACCCCUUGUAAAUGUUAGCUAGGUCACCUCUAAAAUGGGGAUGAUAACAGCACUUCCCAUUGUGAGACUUCAGUGUAGUAAAUCAUCGAAAGCAUAGUGAUCACUCAAUAAAUGUUUUUUACAAAAUUAUUUGCACAUUAUUGAUUAGCUGGCUAUUUUUAGAUCCCUAUUAUGUGCUAGACACUAUCCUAGGUAGAAACAGUAUAAAGGGGUUAAGAUAACAACCUCUGCUAGCAAGAAGCCACUCCUAUCCUAUCUCCCAGUUACAGUCCAGACCCCUUGCAGUCACAUUCAUAUGGUCCACACAUCUUUACUGAAUAUUUGCUAUCUUCAGAAACCCUGUGCCAGGCACAAGGAAUUAUAAGGAGGUGUAAUAUAAAGUCCAUAACAUGUUAACUACACUAGAAUUAAAUUAAAAAAUAAAAAGUCCACGACCUUCAAGACUAUUAUAACUAAAGUCCCUAUCAUUGUGCUUUGCACAUGGCGAGAGCCCAGUGAAUGUGUAUUGGCACCAAAGAGCAUGGCAGUGAUGACGAAGACUCUAGAGCACCACAAUUUCUAGCCUCUUUUUAGAGCUGUUAACUUUAUUUGGCUUCUUCAUGUCUUCAUUUUCCACUGAAUGAAUGCCAGGAAGUCAUUUUCAAUUUUUUUCUGUCUGAUCAAGACUUAGAUAAUGUCUGCUUCUUUUGGUAGCUAAAUAUCCCCAAACUCAGUUUCUUGCUUCAGUGAGAAGAUAUUAUGGUAUUGCCAAUGGAAACCACUUCACAUUUGGGCAACAUCAUGAUGUCUAAGUGGCUCAGAUUCAAGUUUCAGUAUAGAUUCUGGUUCCUGCACAUUUGCUGUCAAAAACCACUUUAUAGGAGCCAAACCAUGGAAUCCUUCCAAGUGUUAGGCACUAUUAGAAGUACCAUUAAAGUACUGCAGAGCUUCAAAAGAUUAUGAAAUUCUGAUUUCUUAACAUAAUAUAUUCUAUGAUACUUUCUUGAAAUUUUAAUGAGUUCCUUGUUUCUGUCAUGGGGCUAAAGGCGAUUAAUAUCACUCAUUUUUUGUACCAUUACAAGGUUUAGAGACAAUUCUGAGUUGGAACUUCUAAAAUAAUUUUAUACUGUUUUAUACAACACUGGGUAGAUAGAACAAUUCUGGUUCAAACGUAACUGUGAAAUAAGCCUUCAAGAAAACGUAAUUGUUUUUCUCUAUGCUUUAUAGCUUAGUCCACUCCCCAACCCUGUCCCUUUUUACUUUCUUGGUCAGCCUGCAGGGAAUAAGACAUAUACAAGACAUAAUAAUUAAAGUACAGAUUUUUAUAAUAUCAGAAACUACUUAGAUGUAAAGAUAAUUGUCCAUCAGCCUAUGGUUUGUUAUUAUAUUAAUUUAGCAUGAGAUUUAUCUCUAGCUUCCUUACAGUCAAGGCAGAAAAGGAAAUAAUAACUGACAGUAUCUUACCUUGAAAAGCAAAAGCAUAUAGCGGAGAAAGAGGAUCUCUUUUGCGUUGUUGGUGGGAAUGCAAGCUGGUGCAGCCACUCUGGAAAAAAGUCUGGAGGUUCCUCAAAAAACUAAAAAUAGAGCUACCCUACGACCCAGCAAUUGCACUACUAGGCAUUUAUCUAAGGGAUAGGGAUACAAGUGUACUGUUUCGAAGGGACACAUACACCCCAAUGUUUAUAGCAGCACUAUCAACAAUAGCCAAAGUAUGGAAAGAGCCCAAAUGUCCACCGAUGGAUGAAUGGAUAAAGAAGAUGUGGAUAUAUAUAUACAAUGGAAUAUUACUCGGUGAUCAAAAAGAAUGAAAUCUUGCCGUUUGCAACAAUGUGGAUGGAACUGGAGGGUAUUAUGCUAAGUGAAAUUAGUCAGAGAAAGACAAAUAUCAUAUGACUUCAUCAUAUGAGGGCUUUAAGAGACAAAACAGAUGAACAUAAGGGAAGGGAAACAAAAAUAAUAUAAAAACAGGAAGGGGGACAAAACAGAAGAGACUCAUAAAUAUGGAGAACAAACGAGGGUUAUGGGAGGGAUUGUGGGAGGGGGGAUGGGCUAAAUGGGUAAGGGGCACUAAGGAAUCUACUCCUGAAAUCAUUGUUCCACUAUAUGCUAACUAAUUUGGCUGUAAAUUUUUAAAAAAUAAAAAAUAAAAUUAAAAAAAUACAAAUAAAAAAAUUAAAUUAAAUUUAAAAAAAGCAAAAGCAUAUAUACUUUUCUGAAAAGAUCAUUUCCUUGCAAUUAAUAACAAAGUAAUCAAUAUUUACUUGUAAACAAGCGGUUAUUUAUGAAAUUAUUUUAGUGUCUUCUUCCCCCACUAGAUUGUAAACUCCUUGAAGUCAGUGACCACAUCUGUCUUGUUAAUCACCAUAUCCCCAGCUUCUAGAAAAAAAUAUUGGUUGAAAUUAAAAUGAAAUGAAACUACGUGGAUUCUUAUCCAAGAAACACUGACUAACAUAAUGGGCCAAAUCUUCCAUGAACAUGUUUAUAGAAAAUCGAGUUAGUACUAUACUGUUGAUUUUUUUAAUAUUUUAGUUUUAUUUUUUUCAGCUUUAUUGAGCUUUACUUAUUUAUAAUUGACAGAAUUCUAAGACAUUUAAAAUGUACAUCAUGGGGGUGCUUGAGUAGCUCAGUUGGUUAAGCCUCCGACUCUUGAUUUUGGCUCAGAUCAUGAUAACACGUGUUCGUGAGAUCGAGCCCCUUGUCAGGCUCAAUGCUGAUAGCACGAGCCUCCUUAGGAUUCUCUUUCCCUCUCUCUCUGCCCCUCCCCUACUUGUGUGCACACACAUGUGCUCUCUCUCUCUCUCAAAAUAAAUGAAUAAACUUUUUAAAAAGUAGUAAAUUGUACAUCAUGAUGAUUUGAUACACAUAGUAAAAAGGAUUCCUUUCAUCCAGUUAAUUAACAUAUCCAUCACCUUGAAUAUUUAUCUUUUUCUGGUAAAAGUAUUUAAGUUCUACUCUCAGCAAAUUUCAUUUACAUAAUCCAUUCUUACCAACUAUACUCACCGUGUUAUACAUUAUAUCCUCAGACCUUAUUCAUCCAAUUGUUUUUUGAAAGUUUGUAUCCUUUUACCAACCUCUCCCUAUUUCCCCCAACCCUAGUCCCUGGCAACCACUUUUCUUCUCUCUGUUUCUAUGAACUUGACUUUUUAUAGAUUUCACUUAUAAGUGAUACCAGUAUUUGUCUUUCUCUGCCUGGCUUGUUUCACUUAGCAUAAUGCCCUCAAAGUCCACUCAUGUUAUUGCUAAUGGCUAGAUUUCCUUCUUUCUCAUGGCUGAAUGAAUGAUGGUCCCCUGUACAUAUAUAUAUAUAUAUAUAUCUUUAUCCAUUAAUCUAUAGAUGGACACCUAGGUUAUUUUCAUAUUUUGGCUAUUGUGAACAAUGUUUCAGUGAUCAUGGGAGUCCAGAUAUCUCUUCAAUAUCCUGUUCUCAUUUUCCUUGGAUGUAUACCCAGAAUUGGGAUUACUGGAUUACGUGGUAGUUCUACUUUUAAUUUGUUGGGGACCUUCCAUACUGUAUUCCAUAGUUUAUAUUUAUAUUCCUCCCAAUAGUACACAAGCGUUCCCUUUUCUCUACAUCCUGGCCGACACUUUUAUCGCUUGUCUUUUUGAUGAUAGUCAUUCUAACAGGUGUGACCUAUUGCCUCAUUGUGGUUUUGAUUUGCAUUUCCCUGUUGAUUAGUGUAUUCAGACCUUUUCAUAACCCCUAAUUAUCACAUAUGUAAUUUGCAAAUAUUUUCUCCCAUUUUGUAGGUUGCCUUUUCAUUUUGCUAAUGGUUUAUUUGUUUGGCCUUUGUUUUUUGGGUGGUUGUUGUUGUGCACAUAAUUUUCAGUUUGAUAUAGUUGCACUUGUUUAUUUUUGUUUUUGAUACCUUUGCUUUGGUAAAGUAAAAAAUCAUUGCCAAGACCAAUGUCAAAGAGCUCACCCCCUAUGUUUUCUUCCAGAAGGUUUACUGUUUCGGGUCUUAUGUUCAGGUUUUUAAUCCAUUUUGUGUACGGCAUAAGAUAGGGAUCCAGUUUCAUUAUUUUGUUUGUGGCUGUCCAUUUUUCCCAACACCAUUUAUUGAAGAGACUGUCUUUUCCCCAUUGUAUAUUCUUGACCCCUUGGUCAAAAAGUUUUGACCAUAUAUGCAUGGAUUUAUUUCUGGGUUCUCUGUUCUGUUCUAAUGAUCUGUAUAUCUGUCAUUAUGCCAAUACCAUAAUGACUUUUGACUACUACAAAUUUGUAAUAUAGUUUGAAAUCAGGAAGUAUGUUGCCCCCUGCUUUGUUUAUCUUUCUCAAGAUUGCUUUGGCUUUUUGGAAUCUUUUAUCGUUCCAUACAAAUUUUAGGACUGUUUGUUCUAGUUCUGUGAAAAAUUCUGUGGAAUUUUGAUAGGGAUUGCAUUGAAAAUGUAGAUUGUUUUCAAAAUUAUGGACAUUUUAACAAUGUCAAUGCUUUGAAUUUAUGAUCAUGAAAUACCUUUCCAUUUACUUAUGUCUUCAAUUUCUUUCAUCAAUGUUUUAUUAUCAGUGUAUAGUUCUUUAACCUCCUUGGUUACAUUUAUUAUUAAGUAUUUUAUUCUUUUUGAUGGGAUUGAAAAUAGGAUUGUUUCCUUAAUUUGUCUUCCUGAUAUUGUUAACUUUUUUACUGAUGACCAGUAAAAGCCUGUGAGGAGAGAAUGGAGAAAAAAAAAUAGAAUAAAAUUAAUGCCUGUAAUAUAACAUUAAAUCAUGACUCAGUGAUGAGGUUCCUACAGGAGACUGCAUUAAUUUUUACCACAACUUAAUAUGACUUUACUGUAACCAAAGAUGGCCAUUCAGUCUUUACGGAGAAAAAGUUAUACAGAUCCUCAUACUUAUCUAAUGUAGAUAAUAGCCAUUUAUUUAGUAAAAAUCUAUUAAGAAAUAAGCAUCGUUUUUAAAGAAAACAGUAUACAUUGUAUAGCAAAUGUAGUUACUAUUGUUUUUAGCAGAGGGUCUCUCUAUAUUAUUUUACUUUGCUGAAGUUACAGUAUGGUAGAAAUAGAAAUAAUAGAAAUAAUUAGAAAGUUUGUAAUGUCAGUUUCAUUAUAGGCAGAAUUUAUGCAUCCAAAUACAACUUUUCACAUAACAUUUGGAGUUCAUUUUAAUGAAAUUUACCAUAAAGUACGGUUUGGAAUAAGGCAGGUAUAUCUUGGAUACCUCCAAAGGGGUAUUAGUACUGUAAUCUCUAGGAUGAGCCCUGUGUCUUGUUUUUCUUUAUAUGCUACUAUCCAUCAAUGUCUGGCAUAUAGGCACUUAGAAAAUUUUUGGACUAAAUGAUGGUAUAAAUUUUUGUUUGUUUUGUUUUUGUUGUGCCAUGUAAGUUAUUAUUCAAGGGCUUAAAGCUGCCAUAUAGUGGCAUAUAGUGUUCAAAUUUCAAAAAAAUCUGCCAUAUAGUGUUAUAGAUAGUGUUGGUUUUUCUUUUUUAGGGGGAAACAAAAGAAAAAUGUGUAGGCUGUUACAUUUGUGUUUUUCUUCAAAAUCUAUUUAAAUGUAAAAAUAUGUUAAAGAUUAAAAUGAUGAACAGUGUCAUCUGUUUUCUUUUUACCAUACUUUUCCAAGAUAAAUGUGAAUAGUACAUGACUCCUUAAAAUUAUUUGUAUGGCAUAGAAAUAGUUCCUUUAGUGAGAGUCCUAUUAACACAAAAGCCAUGAAGCAGCAGAAAAUUCAGUUUUUAACCAAAUACACAGCUAAAGUUAUGUUUCUUGUAUUUCAAGAAGCUUUUAGCAAUCAUUUUUUAUGAUCAUUUUACUCAAAGGAUUGAGUUACUGAGAAUAGUAGGCCUAUCAGCAGAUUAAAAGAAAAACCUGCAUUAUCUUAUCAUUUUUAGUAUUUGGACCCUAGCACCUAUAUUUUUUCGAAAAACACUUAAAUAAUUUUUGAAUGUUUUCAUCAUAGUAUAUUCUUUGAGUGUGAGAAAAUGUCCUUAUUUCAUUUUUAAUUCAAUUCAGCAUUUACUGAGUUCCUAAUUAUUUCAAAAGACUUUACCAGUCAGUCCGUCAGUCAACACGUGUUUAUUGCACACUGGAUAUGUGCCAGGCACUGUUCUAGUCACUGUGGUGUUACACAGCAGCAGAUAUAGCAGAGUUCCUGACCUGAGAGAGCUUUCCUUUUGGUCAGAACGUACAGAAAAUUAACAAGCAAGCCAAAAAAAAAGCUAGUAAAUAAAAAAAACGCAUUAUUUCAGUUGCUAAGUGUUGUGUUGGGUUCUGACAAACAUUUAAGAAGAUAAUGGGUUGAAGAGUGGCUGGGCAGAAAGUGAGGGGGCCCUGUGACUCUCCUUUAGCUGAUUGCUUUCUGCUUUUGAGGCUGCUUGGUCCUACUGCUCCUGCCUACCAUUGAACUGUUUGAAAACAGCUUGCCUUUCUUUGUACCACAGAGCAAUGUGACAUCCCCACAGAGUCAUUUUCUCUAGGAGAAGUGAUGGAAAUAGACUAGUCCAACCACAUUUGCUGCCCCUUCCCUUGUGCAUUGGUCACUAAAUGUAAAAGGUGAAACUUCCCACCUGUUCAUCACCACCACUUACAUACCGUGGUAUUCCCUGAGGUAUGUAAGGAGAAUCAAGUGCUGGUCAGAAAGAAAACAAAAAUCACGUGUCGACUCUAGGCUUAAAUAGAGAUAUUUGAAGUGACACCAUGUUUAAAUGGAUAAGAGAGAAAGCAUUAAGUUUUCUAUUACUGGUAGAUCAUAACUAUAAAGCUGUCCAAUAAAUUGGUUCAAGUCACUUUCCACUUUAUAUAUUUUAUGUAUCUAUAUAUAUAUAUAAAUGUAUAUUAUAUAUAAUCAUUUAUAAUAUAUGCACAUGAUAAUAUUAAAAAAAACAAGCUCUUGGAAUGUAUCUGGAGAGUAAAGAACAUAAAAAUCUCAUACAUCUGGUGUGGAGGUUCCUCAAAAAGUUAAAAAUAGGGGCACAUGGUUGGCUGAGUCAUGAAGCCACCAACUCUUGAUUUCAUCUCAGGUCAUGGCCUCACGGUCCAUAAGAUCGAGCCCCGUGUCGGUGCCCUGCACUGACAGUGCGGAGCCUGCUUGGGAUUCUCUGUCUCACUUUCUCUUUCUGCCCCUUCCAUGCUCAUGCACAUGCUCGCUCUCUCUCAAAAUAAAUAAAGUAUUUUUUUAAUUAAAAAUAGAACUACCUCACGAUCCAGCAAUUGUGCUACUAGGUAUUUACCCAAAGAGUACAAGAACACUAAUUCAAAGGGAUGCAUAAACCCCUAUGUUUAUAGCAACAGUAUCUACAGUAGCCAAGAUAUGGAAACAACCCAUGUGUCCAUCCGUUGAUGAAUGCAUAAAGAAGAUGUGAUAUACAAACAUGUAUGUAUAAGUGUAUAUAUAUGUAUAUGUAUGUAUGUGUAUCAAUGUAUGUUUAUAUAUGUAUAAUGGAAAAUUAAUCAGCCAUAAAAAAGAAUGAAAUCUUGCCUUUUGCGACAGUAUGGAUGGAGCUAGAAAGUAUAAUACUAAGUGAAAUAAGUCAGAGAAAGACAAAUACUAUAUGAUUUCACUCAUAUGUGGAAUUUAAGAAACAAAACAAACAAGCAAAGGAAAAAAAUAAGAGAGAGAUAAAGCAAGAAACAGACUCUUAAUUAGAAUAAACUGAUGGUUACCAGAGGGGAGGUGGAUGGGGGGAUGGGUUAAAUAAGUGAUGCACUUGUUGUGAUGAGCACAGGGUGAUAUAUGGAAGUGUUGAAUUACUAUAUUGUACACCUGAAACUAAUAUAACACUGUAUGUUAACUAACUGGAAUUAAAAUUAAAACAUUUUUAAAAUCCUCAUAUACCUGACUGUUAAUUAUUCAGGUUAAUAUUUCCAUUUAAUAUUAAUGGCAAUUAUUAUUUCCAUUUGGAUGACUCUUGAGAAUGAAUAAAAUACUUUCACAUAUAUCAUCUCCUGGAGUUCUCAAGAACAAUGAUGUGAAAUAGGUACUAUUAUUAACUUCAUUUUGUAUGUGAAGAAACUGAGGCUCAGCCCGGUGAUUUGCACAGAAUUGUAAAGUUCGGGAGUAACCCAUCCAGGUGCCCAGGGGUUAUGUUUGCAAGGCCGAUGUACUUUCUACUAUACUGAUAGCUACAAAUAAAUACUUUCAGGAGGAAGUAGUUAAAUAGAAGUAGUCAGAAAGUUGAUAGGAUUAUAAAUCUGAUGCUGUGACGAACACAUCAGUGAGAAAGUAACCAACAGUGUCUUUUAGCAACAGAGGGCUGCAGGAGUAAGAACAGAAAAAUGGAUCUCAAAUUCAGAAAACUAAUCAAUGAUUUUUAAAAGGAAAGUUUCUAAACAGCAAAGUGGUGAUGGUAAAAGUUUUGCAGUUAUCAAGGUGGGACUGAUUUUUUUUUUUUUUAAUUGAGGGUUCUCAUGCCAAGAGCAUGUUCAAGUAAUUCUGUGGACAAACAGGCAUUAACCAUUGAACAGGUUGUCAAGAUAAGUAAUAAAUUUGGGAAAACAUGAGGGUGCUAAAAGGAAUAAAGACAAUACCAUAGAAAUAUAAUGAUACCAAAUAAAGGAAAGAUAGAUUUUUCAGGUGAUGUUCCAACAGCUAAGCAUUCUAAAGUAGAAAGUACGUUUCUGUGAUCUGUUGAGGUAGGAAAUACAGACACAAAGAAGGGAAGGUAUUUCAAACUAAGUGUUACAGAAACCAUAGCAAAUCCUUCCACAGUCCUCGCCAUUACUGGAUGGCACACUAUUGGUGAAUGAACACCGAAAGGACUCCCUUCACCACAGGAGGAUUUCUUCAGAUUUUCACUCUUAGCACAAAGUCCUUGCCAUGGUCACCAUCAACUCUCCUCUGGUGAACUUCUGGGAAACUAAAUACCAAAAAGCAUAUCAAGGAGGUCACAACCCUAGAAAACUAUUUAGAAUCACUAGUUUUCUUUUUUUUCUUUUCUGUUUUCUGAUUUUCUGAAUACCACUAGUUAUUCAAGAACAAAAAUAGAAAUGUCUCAUUCACACCUAGCACGCUGCCUAGCAUACAGGAGCAACUCAAUAAAUGUUUAUUAAACUGAACUAAAUUAUCCUAAAAUGCAAAAUCAGAGGCCCCUGAGUUACUCAUUCAUUCAUAUCCUCAACAUACUGACACGAAAGCCAAAAACAUGAGUUUGAGUCUAACCACUGCCACUUGCCAAUCCUGUGACUUUAGGCAGUUCACAAUUUAACUCCUCUAGGCCUCAGUUUCCAUGUCCAUAAUUUAGAGAUAACAGCUUCUGCCCUGCUAACCUCACUGGUUUAUUAUAAGGAUAGAAUCUGAUAGUAUAUGUGAAGACAAACCAGAAGUUACCAAGUGCUAUACAAAAAAAACUGGAUUUUUCUGUGGAAACUGUAGUGCCAAAAUGCUCCAGUGGUCAGCAGGUUCCUUUGGUCAAACCUAAAUGCUGGGCUCAGUAAAGAUAAUAAGCAGGCUUCUUAUGAGCAGGUCUUCUCAGAACCUUUCACUUGGUAAUUAGUAUUGUGAAAGUAGGAGAAUGGGCUAAAAUGGGAAUGAAUGUCUUUUUUUUUUCCUAUGUAAUCAAAAGAAAGCCUCUAGUUCAUGUAGGUUGUACCAAAAUAUUCAAAUAAUACUAGUUGCUGUCAUUUUUCAAGCAGGAUUAUGUGACAGGCACUGUACUUGUACUUGGCAUACAUCAUACUCAGUUCUCAUCACAAAUUGCAAAGUAGGUAUUCUUGCUGUUAGUCCCAUUCUUACAGAUGAGAGAGAGAGAGAGAGAGAGAGAGAGAGAGAGAGAGAGAGAGAGAGAUUAAAGAACUUGCCCAAGGUUACAGCUAGUAAAUAGCAUUUUACAUUUAAGAAAAUGAGUACUUAGAAAUAUGUGGCUUAAACCAGUAUUUGCUCUCUCACUUUUCUCUCCUGUUUUUUCAACCUGCUAUACAACUCUACUUCAUACCUAUAUUGCCUCUAGACCUAAAUUUUCCAAAGUGUGUUUUUUGAAAUAAAAGUCCACAAAACUGUCCCAAGAAAACUCGUUGUUCACACAUGUUUGGAAGAUAGUGCACACUGAAAUCCCCCCUUCUGGGGCAUCUGGCUGGCUCAUUUGGUGGAGCAUACAACUCUUAAUCUUGGGGUUGUGAGUUCGAGCCCCGCGUUGACUGUAGAGACUACUUAAAAUCUUUAAAAAAAAAAAUGAAAAAGAAAAGGAAAUCCUCCCUUCUGUCUGUCACAGUGCACAUUAGCACACUGACGCCUUUGAGAAAGACUGCAGUAAGGAGCUUCCCUAAACUUUGAACAGAACCUUGAAUCAACAGCUGUUGGCAUCCCACAAAACCAGAGGUCCAGAGAAAAAACUUAAGAAAAGUUAAAUGUUUAAUAAAUGCAGCAAUCAUUAUGCCAGUCAUUAUGCCAUUACACCAACAGAUAUAGAGCACAGUCCUCUCCAUAAAAUAUAUACGAAACUAUUUGAAAUUAUAGUUAAUCUGUUAUUUUCCUAAAUGUGUUCAACCAAUUUCCUAAAGAUUCUUCAAUAUAAUUUUUUUUCCAACUCUGACAGCAACCAAUAUUGUACUGAAAGAAGACAGAAACUCGGGUCGUUUUUUCAUGUAAGAAAUUGUUCUGUAAUAAAUGGUUGGAUUUAUUUUAUGGUACUGAAAAUUAUCAUCCUGAUUAUUAAACAUUAGUUUAAAUCAAGUGAUUUUAAACCAAUGUAAUAAGCAUUUCUACUUGGAGGAGAAGCCAAUGAUAGUCAAAACUACUUCUUCCCAUUUCCUCUUCUAAAACCAGGAGAAAAAUGAAGAACAUUAAUUUACUAAGACCUGUCAGACUAGGAUUCUCCAGUUACUUAAGAGUCAUUUAAAACAUCUCUUGAGUGAGGCCACUUGGUAGCAGACUAUAUUUGAACUUCAAAUACUUUUUGAAUCAACUCAAAAAACACUACAUUUUCUCCUUUUAUCCUUGGAAAACAUUAGGUCUAUUGCCUGUUUUUUUGUUACUUUAUUGUCAUAUAUUUUGUUAAAAUGUCAGAGCUUAAAUUAUUAUUAUAUGCCCAUUAGUUCUGCUGCCUUGGGAUGUAAUGACUCAUAUUAGUAGUCUAUGUAAUAAAAAGGGUUGGUGAAUUUUUACUGAACUGUCCUUUUGGGACUAUAAUUUGUAACAUUCUCUGGAAGCUUUGCAAAUCCUGUAGUGAUAAAGUGCUCUUAUAGUACUGUCUUUAUCAUUGACAAGUUGUUAAGAACCAGAACUGUCUAUUACCUGUAAAUGCUGAACAUAACACCAUGUUGAUCUGAUAAGUUCUCUACUUGGAGAGUCACCAAGAAUACAUAAUGAGAAUGUCACCAUCUUGUAAACAGAUGAGGUGAUUUUGCAAUCUUCAUAACCGUAAUUUUAGACUUUUCUUCAAUUUAGUAGAUGAGUUCAUCUUUUUGAGAUAGAGUUACCAAACACCAUCUAAUUAACAUAGACAUAUUCUUUUGCUAAAUUUUAAAUCAUUAAGGACUAUAGAAGAAGACAAAGGACUGGUAUAGACCAAUGAGCCACUAUUUUCAGAAGGGUUUAAUCCCUAGGUACACCAUUGAUUUUGCCCAUAGAUGGAAAAUAUGUCCUAAGCAAAAAGUUAUAUUCAAUGAUAUAAAUUAAAUAUUUGUAUAUGAAGUGUGGUGCCUUUAUUUUUACAUUUAUAUGUGAACUAUAUUUUGAAGUAUAUUAAAUUUUAUUUUUAUUUCUUUUUUAAUUAUAAAUGUUGCAUAUAGUAAAAUGAUCAGAUCUUCAUUAUACAAACUGUUGGGUUUUGAAAGAUGUGUAUACCAAUUGUAACCACUACCCUGAUAAAGAUAUAGAACAUUUCCAUCACCUGCAUUUUUUUUUCUUCUUUCCAGCCUGUUCUCCUUUCCCUCCCCACCUUACCACUGAAAAUCUCCAUAGAUUGUUUUGCCUAUUCUUAAACUUCACAUGAAGGCCAUUUAGAGCAUAUACUUUUUCGUGUUUGGCUUCUUUCACCUAACAGAAUGUUAUCGAGAUUCAUCCAAGUUGUUAUAUGUAUCAGUAGUUCAUUCUUUUUAAAUUACUAAGUAGUAUCUAUUUUAUGAAUAUAUCACAAUUUGCAUAUCCACUCUCCUAUUGAUGAACAUCUGGGCUGUGUCUAAUUUUUGGCUAUUGUGAAUAAAGCUUCUAUGAACAUUUUCUUAGAUGCCUUUUUGUAGACAUUUGUUGUCGAUUGAAUCAAUAGCUAAUUGUAGGAGUGCUAAUGCUAAUAAUUAAAAUCUGCCAAAUAUUUUUACCAAAGUGAUUAUACCAUUUUACAUUCCUACGAAUAAUAUAUGAAAGUUCUAGUUGAGUUCCUGCACAUCCUCACCAACAUUUGUGUUGUAGUCUUUUUAAUUUUAGUUUCAGUUGGAGUAACUAGCCCAUUUACAUUUUAUAUAAUUAUUAAUAUCAUUGUUUGUGUCUCCCUUUGUGCUAUUUGCUUUCUGUUUGUCCAGUUUCUUUGUUCUUUUUUUGCAUUUUAAUUGCUCUGGAGGUCAUUUUAAUAUGCCUUUUUAUAUUAUUUUUUAAUGGUUGCUCUAGGGGUUAAGGGUUGAUCUAUACAUCUUUAUCAUAAGACUAUGAAGUGAUAUUGUACAAUUUCAUAUAAAAUGUAAGGGCCUUACAGCAUUGUAAUUCCAUUUAUUCUCCUGUCCUUUAUAUUAUAGUUGUAAUAUGUUUUAAAUCCAUGCACACUAAAACCGCAUAAUACAGCAUUAUAAUUUUUGCAUUAAAGAUUCAGUACUAUUUUUUUAAUUAAUAGAAGAAGAACUUGUCUUUAUUUUUGCCCUUAUGCUACCAUUUCCAGUGCUGGACAUAUCUUAUAAAUUGAAGUUUCAUCUGGUGUUAUUUCCCUCCAGCCUAAAGAACUUACUCUGGCAUGUCUUCUAGUGCAAGUCUGCUGACAGCAAAUUCUUCCUUUUAUUGUUUACCUGAAACUGUCUUUAAUUCACCUUUUUUUCCUUUUUAUAUCAAUUCCAGUAUAGUUAACAUUAUUUCACCUUAGUUUUUAAAAGGCCCUUUUUUUUUUUCUUGUUUGGAAAUAGAGUUCUAGGUUGAUGAGGGUUUUUUUUCCUUUCAGUUUUUUCAAGUUGUUAUUUCCUUGUCUUCUGACCUCCAUUGUUUCUGGUGAGAAGUCAACAGCCAUCUCUAUCAUUAUUUUUCUGCCUGUCCUUUUUACCCCUCCUGCUUUCAAGAUUUUUUCUUUUUUUUUUUUUAAUGUUUAUUUAUUUAUGAGAAUGAGAAACAGAGUGUGAGCAGGGGAGGGGCAGAGAGGGAGAGGGAGACACAGAAUCUGAAGCAGGCUCCAGGCUCUGAGCUGUCAGCACAGAGCCUGACAUGGGGGCUUGAAUCCACAAACUGUGAGAUCAUGACAUGAGCCGAAGUCAGCCCCUUAACUGACUGAGCCACCUGGGUACCCCAAGAUUUUUUUCUUUAUCUUUGGGUUAUAGUACUCCUACUAUGAUGUGUCUGUGUGCUUUUCUUUGUAUCUGUCCUGUUCAACAUUUGCCAGACUUCUUACAUUCUUAAAUUAAUGUUUUUCACCUAAUGUAGGAUUCAUGGAUUUUUUUUUGAUUCAUGCAUAUUAUUAAUUGAAAUGUUUUUGCUUCCUUAUUCAUUUUUUCUUCUUCUCUGGGACUCACUUAUACCAUAAUUAAGUGGUUUUAUGUUGUCUCACAGGUCACUCAGGCUUUGUUUCCUUUUUGUUACCAAUCUUUUUUCCUCUGUUCUUCGCCUUGGAUAAUUCCUGUUGAUAGGUUUUCAAGUUCACUGAAACUUUCUUCUGCUUUCUCCAGUUGGGUAUUAAGUCCAACCAGUAGGGGGGCCGGCAGGGGGGUAUGCACCUGGCUGGCUCAGUUGGUACAGCAUGUGACUCUUGACCUCAGGGUCGUGAGUUUAAAAUCCAUGUUCACUGUGGAGCCUACUUAAAAAAAAAAAAAGUCCAUCCAGCCAAUUUUCCUUUCAGAUAUUGUACUUUACAGUUCUAGUAUUUUUUUAAGUUUAUUUAUUUUAUUUUGAGAGAGAGAGAGAGAGAGAACACAUGCAUGCGAGCAAGUGUGCAAGUGGGGGAGGGACAGAGAGAGAGAGAGAAAAUCCCACGCAGGCUCUGCACUAUCAGCAUGGAGCCCAGAACCCAACUUCGGGCUCAAACUCACAAAUCUCGAGACCUGAGUGGAAAUCAAGAGUUGUACGCUUAACUGACUGAGCCACCAAGACACCCCUUGGCUUUUUUUAAGGUUUUGAUUUGUCUGUUAAAAUAUCUUUCACUCAUUUUAGCCAUUUCUUUUAAGUUCUUGAACAUAUUUAUAAUAGUUGUUUUAAAGUUUUGGCUUGCUAAUUCCAAUAUUCCAAUAUCUGGGUCAUCUUUGAGUCUCUUUCUUCUUUUGUUCACCCCUUCACUCUGGAUUACAUUUUUCUCCAUUUUUUGUUUGUUUUUUGUUUUUGUUUUUUGCAUAUCUGGUAAGUUUUUAUCAUUUGUGCACAUUGUGAUGAUGAGUCGUUGAGUUUGGGAUUCUGUCAUAUUCUUCUGAGAAUCUCUGUGUUUCUUUUAGUGGGCAUUUAAAUUAUUGGCAGAUAACCUUGAAUUUGUUCAGAUGGGAUUUUAAACUUUGUUAUGGUGAGUUUUCCCUUAGUUUUAGGGUAAACUCUUAGACCUGGCACAUUAUCUUUACUUUUCCUGGGUUUCAUUGGAAAGACCAAGGUGUUUAUCCAGCCUCUCUAAUUUGACAGGACUCAGAUUCUAAACUUUGUCUCUUUCUUGGUGUGCAGCAACUUAAAUCUCUGCUCAUCGUCUUCAGCUUUCCAGUUGUAGCCUUCUACCAGCUCCUUGGAAUCUUUCCUCUGCAAAGAUAGUUCAGAAUUCAACUAAAAACUGAAUGCAAUUUGCAUACAGAUUUGGAACAUCCCCCUCUGUGGUUGGCUCCUGUUUGUUUUUGUUUGUUUUCAGGAAUUUCUUUUCCUAGUUUCCAGCUGCUUUAGCCUCCCCCAACCCCAUCUCUGGACAUUUCAGGCCAAUAAGUGCAGCCUUUUGCUUGGUUUCUAACCACACUGUACCUUGCAGAAAGAAUUCUUUCAGAUGAAGAGCUGUCCAGUGCACAACCCUUAUUUGAAUGUUUUCAUCUCCUUCAGUUUCUACUUGGUUUUGGUUGGUUAACUGAUUACUAGAACAAGCACCCCCAGUAUAUUAUGUUUUUAAUGUAUUUGUAUUGAAAUAUGGUUUUUGUAUUAUUAAAGUAAUGCAUUUUGUAAACAAACAUAUAUGUUUAUGUGUAGAAAAAGGUCUGAAAUAAGAUAUUCUAUGUUGUUAUUUCUGAUUGGUAGAGUUACUAGUGAUUUCCAUUUUUUCUUCUUAUUUGUGUUUUCUACUUUUUACUACUUUUUCCUACCACAAACAUAGGUUAAGUAGUAAAAUCCUUUAUUUGCUCUUCUAGGCAAAUGGUUUACUUAUCAUUAGUCUUUAUAAUAUUUAUCAUGACUCUUUGUAAUCUUUGAUGCAUUUCAUACUAUGAUGUCACUACAUUAACUAUCUAAAAUCCUAGUAGUAUAUCUGUAUGGUAAACAAUACUUUUUCUGCUUUUAGGAAUAGACAAAUUGGGACAAAUCAAAGUUAAAUGGCUUAUCUAGAAUUUCAUGCAUAUUGAUAGAGUAACCAGAAAUAGAUCUUAAAAUUUAAGGCUCUCAGUUCAGCUGUGUAGACUAUUUCUAGGCCAUCAGCAACAAUAUAUGCAGUUAUUUCUAUAUUUUCUAAUGCACGUGGAAUGAAAUUGUCAUAGUUGAAUAUAAGCCUCAAAUUUUUGAGAAACUUGACUUAGUCACUAAUUUCAGUCUCCUCUCAUUCAAAUAAAUAUUUUACUAGAAUUUCUAUCAAAUAGAAUACUUGACUUAUUUUAAAUUUUAAUUCAGUAACCUUCCAAGAGCUAACAAGAAAAUGCCAGGAAGGCAUGCAUUGAAAUAGUCAGGAAUUUUCUUCUUUCUGAAUUGCAGGCUUCUUUAUCAAAUAGAGUCAAAUGGAUAUUUGUUAUUCACUGGUAGACAUAUAACCUUAACCAGGAAUAUUUUAAUCAUAUUCUUAUGUUUUUAUGCAGAUAAUUGACUAAAACUGUCAUAGAACUGAGAUAGAAUUAGUGUUGUCAUUCUGAAGUUUCAGAUUGAAGCCAAAUGAAACUAUCUUUUUAAACAUCCAUAAAUAUGGAUGGAAAUAAAAAGUAAUAAAAAGUAAAAAUGGAUAAAAAUUAAAGGAAAUAUUUAUCGAAUCUUCAUAGUCUUCACUAUGUGAUCUGGGACUGGACUCUGUACUUGACAGAAAAAAAUGCCUAAUGGACACCUGGCAAAAUUGGCAUCCACAUGGCAGAGGAAAAGUAUCUGUCAAUGUGAAACGUGAAUUUCGUAAGUGUGGUUACAUAACAGAAUUUCAUUGUUGGUAGGAAAUACAUACUAAAGGGCAUGAUAUUUGCAAAUAGCUUAAAGUUCAGAAAAAAAUAGUAUUUGUAUACAUGCAUAUAUAAGUAUGCACACAAAAUGAAAGAGUAAAUAACAAAACAAAUGUGACAAAUAUUUUUAAAAACUGGGAAUCUGGGUUAGAGAUAUAUAGGAGUCAGCUGUAUUAUUUUUGCAACUUUUUGUGAGUUUGAAAUUAUUUUGAAAAUAAAAUUUAUUUUUAAAUUUAAUACUUCUGGGUUUAUUUUCUUAAGAUACAUUCGACUGAAUGCUUUUCGUUUCUCAAUCUGAAACAUGAGAAUCGCAUCACUAUACAUAAUUUAUCACUAAAUUUUAUGAUAUUUUUCUUUUAUGAAAAGAAAAUUUGGAACUUGAAAUGCUAACCAAAAGAAAAUCUUCAUGCUUGAAUUUACUUGCAAAAAUUGUGAUGAACUUAAGUAGAAAUUAUAGAAAAAACACUGACUGAACAGAACGAUUUUUAUUAAGAAUGACAUAGUUACAAAUGAUUUUUAUUUCCAAAGUUAUUUUAAAUGGUAAUUGUUCAUAAAAAUAUCCUCUCAAAUUGUAUAUGUUUUCCACCAUAUGUAAGACUAUAAUUAAGCAUCUGUCAACAUUUCUAGCUGUUUUAAAUUUGUAUAGUCUUGCUCUGGGGCCUAAAACUUCACCAUUUAAAUGGUUUAACCAGAGACUUCAUUAAAAAACAAGACUUUUUCUUUUUUUCUUCUUUUCUUUCUUUUUUUUUUUUUUUUUGAUAGGUUAU